rnacentral:tRNA from 1 species
GCAGCGGUGACCAAGUGGCUAAAGGUGCAUGAUUGGAGAUCAUGUGUGCGCUAAUACUGUAGCGAGGGUUCAAAUCUCUCCCGCUCUA